UACGAAGGGGGCUAGCGUUGUUCGGAAUUACUGGGCGUAAAGGGCGCGUAGGCGGUCCUGAUCGUCGGAUGUGAAAGGCCUGGGCUCAACCCUGGAACUGCCUUUGAUACUGGACGUCUGGAGUUCGGGAGAGGUGAGUGGAAUUCCGAGUGUAGAGGUGAAAUUCGUAGAUAUUCGGAGGAACACCAGAAGCGAAGGCGGCUCACUGGCCCGAUACUGACGCUGAGGCGCGAAAGCGUGGGGAGCAAACAGG
rnacentral:rRNA from 1 species